rnacentral:rRNA from 1 species
CAAUAGCGUAUAUUAAAGUUGUUGCAGUUAAAAAGCUCGUAGUUGGAUUUCUGGGAGGGUGCCGCCGUCCGGCGUGUCCGUGUGCAGUGGCGCCCUUCCAUCCUUCUGUUAGCGUCUCUUGGCAUUCAUUUGCUGGUGGCGGGCUCAGAUAUUUUACCUUGAGAAAAUUAGAGUGUUUCAGGCAGGCUAGGCCGGAAUACAUUAGCAUGGAAUAAUGGAAUAGGACUACGGUCUCUUUGUUGGUUUGAGGGACUGCAGUAAUGAUUAAUAGGGAUAGUUGGGGGCAUUAGUAUUUAAUUGUCAGAGGUGGAAUUCUCAGAUUUGUUAAAGACUAACUUAUGCGAAAGCAUUUGCCAAGGAUGUUUUCAUUA